UUACACAAUGGGAGUGCUUUGAAUUUCAUACAGGCAAACUCUGAAACUGCCUCUUUUUCUUUGUACCCUCAAAGUAACCAGACAUAAAGUUUUUGUCUCCUUAAUUUUUCAAUUUAAUUGAAUAAUUUGGAGAUAUGAGAGCCAAGUGGCGUAAAAAGCGUAUGCGUAGACUUAAGCGAAAGCGCCGUAAGAUGCGUGCUCGUUCCAAGUAAGCUGGAAAAGGGGAUUUGGUCAGAGACGACGGUGUAUUUACUCAAAAUUACAUCUGAGCAACCUAUUGGGCGACACCGCGUUGCAAAUCAUGGAUAACCUCUUCUUUGAACACAGACACACUCCUGACUAAUCAACAAUUCCAACAAACUCUUGAAUAAUGUUAAUUUGGAUCAAUAAAAACCGAUUCACAUAACAUGUUCACAAAACGCUCUCUUUUUAAUGGGUUUAGUAGAAGAAAUUCGCGCGUGUUUCAAAGUCUCUCUGGCUUUCAAAGGUUAAACGUCAGUGC